GGGACGAGGGCAUACAUAGUAUUAUAAGUGCCUCUGUCCCUAUAAAACACAUUUCGAUCAAUUUAUGCAUAAAUAUGUACUUAUUUGCACCGCAUUGAUUGUUUAAUCAUGAAAGGCUAAGAAGAAAAAAUAAUAUUAAUGAAAGAUUGGUAGGAAGAAUUGAAGAACGAACACAUAUGUCCAACAACAUUUGUAUGUGAAAAUAAAAUUAAAUGAUCAAUUUAAUGAGCUAAAGAGACAAACACCAUGCAAUAUUAGUGUACUUAAAACACACUAAUAAUGUUUUUUAUAUGUCGAAAUGUUUUUGAAACUCUAGAAGAGUUAAAAACUAAUUAAUUAAUGUAGGUAGGCAUAGAUCAUGAGUUUUUCUUAUUAAAAUUGAUCAAACGGACCUCUUUUGUAACAUGCACAUGUGAUCAAAUAUGGAUAAAAUUAUCAAGUUUGUAUAUGCUAUGAUUCUCUUUCUUUUUCUAAUUCUAUUUGUAUCUCAAGUCAGUGCAUGUGAAUAUGAUUAUGAAUGUCCAUGUUGUCCUUAUGUUGGAACGUGCAGCAUUACCUCAAAUACUUGUAUAUGCUAGUAUUAGUUAAGUUGAAAAUGAAAAAGUUUGAAAAAAUAUCUGUUGAAAAAUGUGAAGGGAUUAUUGCUCACAUAAAAGUACUUUCUUGGGGCUGGUUCAUAUUGAGGGAUGAGAAAAGUUGUGGUUUACAAUUCUCCUAUUAGCUUAAUAACCCUUUUGAAUGUAUUAGAAUAUUGUAGUUACGGUGUAAUGGGUUUUGAGAACCUCUUGUACUCACAUUAAUGCAUUUUGUGAAUAAAAAAAUGUUUGUAUAACAAGAAUUUCAUGCA